AUUGAACGCUGGCGGCAUGCCUUACACAUGCAAGUCGAACGGUAACGGGUCCUUCGGGAUGCCGACGAGUGGCGAACGGGUGAGUAAUAUAUCGGAACGUGCCCAGUAGUGGGGGAUAACUGCUCGAAAGAGCAGCUAAUACCGCAUACGACCUGAGGGUGAAAGGGGGGGAUCGCAAGACCUCUCGCUAUUGUAGCGGCCGAUAUCAGAUUAGAUAGUUGGUGGGGUAAAGGCCUACCAAGGCAACGAUCUGUAGUUGGGCUGAGAGGACGACCAGCCACACUGGGACUGAGACACGGCCCAGACUCCUACGGGAGGCAGCAGUGGGGAAUUUUGGACAAUGGGCGCAAGCCUGAUCCAGCAAUGCCGCGUGCAGGAAGAAGGCCUUCGGGUUGUAAACUGCUUUUGUCAGGGAAGAAAUCUUCUGGGCUAAUACCCCGGGAGGAUGACGGUACCUGAAGAAUAAGCACCGGCUAACUACGUGCCAGCCGCCGCCGUAA
rnacentral:rRNA from 1 species